rnacentral:misc_RNA from 1 species
GAUGAAGAACGCAGCGAAAUGCGAUAAGUAAUGUGAAUUGCAGAAUUCAGUGAAUCAUCGAAUCUUUGAACGCACAUUGCGCCCGGUAGUAUUCUGCCGGGCAUGCCUGUUCGAGCGUCAUUUCAACCAUCAAGCCCCAGCGCUUGUGUUGGGGGCCUGCGGCUGCCGCAGCCCCCUAAAAGCAGUGGCGGGCUCGCUAUCACACCGAGUGCAGUAGUUCAUCUUCUCCCCGGUCUUGUGAGGCGGGUUCCGGCCGUGAAACACCCCACUACAUUCAAGGUUGACCUCGGAUCAGGUAGGAAUACCCGCUGAACUUAAGCAUAUCAAUAAGCGGAGGA